AAGUCGUAACAAGGUUUCCGUAGGUGAACCUGCGGAAGGAUCAUUAUCGUGGGGCUUCGGCCCUCUCGAGAUAGAACCCUUGCCUUUUUGAGUACCUUCGUUUCCUCGGCAGGCUCGCCUGCCAAUGGGGACCCCAAUAAACCCUUUGUAAUACCUGUAAUCGUCUGACAAAACAAACAAAAAUUAAAACUUUCAACAACGGAUCUCUUGGUUCUG
rnacentral:misc_RNA from 1 species